rnacentral:rRNA from 1 species
UACGGAGGGUGCGAGCGUUGUCCGGAAUCACUGGGCGUAAAGGGCGCGUAGGCGGCUCGUUAAGUGGCUGGUGAAAUCCCGGGGCUCAACUCCGGGGCUGCCGGUCAUACUGGCGAGCUGGAGCACGGUAGAGGCGGAUGGAAUUCCCGGUGUAGCGGUGGAAUGCGUAGAUAUCGGGAAGAACACCGGUGGCGAAGGCGGCAUCCUGGACCGACACUGACGCUGAGGAGCGAAAGCCAGGGGAGCAAACGGG